AAACACGAUUUCUUGUGUAGCGGGUUCACUGGACGGAAACCGUUAUGAAUUUUACCGACGAGUGCCGCUACAAUCUGAUGAUCUUGUCACCUUUCAAGAAUUCUUCCUUGACGAGUCGGGUUGCCUUUUCGCUGGGUGGUGUUUCUUCUUUGCUUGCCUGCAUCGGCAUCUCGACUUCUUCGAUGAUCUCCGCGAUAUCUUCGUCAAAUUCCAGGUAUCUCCUUGUGAUUUUCUUUCACCUAUUCUCCUCCUUGACAAAUGUGGAUGUUUCUUGGUCCCCGGUCGUGUUUACCGAACGAGGGGAGGCCCUGGGAUCGACCUUCCCCUCGCCGUUCAUCCAGUCGUUAGGUGACCAUCGGGUCAAGCCGGGGGCCUGGAGGCUCCGAAACCCCCUGAGCCGUAAGUUUAUUUACCUUAUUUUACUUAUCCAUAUUGUUUUUUAUACAAAAGGGAAAUGUCCGUUGACGUAGCCGGUCGUCGUAUAAUCACACUGUAUCCUUCCGAAUGUAUACAAUUCGUAUCCAAAUAAACUUGCCAAUGUCAUCGUAAAAUCGCCAAUCGAAUUCUUAUAGUUAAUUUUAAUUCUAGUUGGUCUCAAUAAUUAGGUACUAACUAUAAUACUAGCAAUUCGUAAUUUAUUUUAACGAUUCUAACUUCAUAACCUUAAUUUUAUUUUUAUCACUCUCACUUUCAGUUUUACUAAUUAGACGGUUAUUAUCAGUUCUAACUUUACUCGUAGUACUACUAACAAUUACUUAUUGGUUUAAAUCUAACUUUUGUCUUAGUAAUUGGUUAGUUAUAAUUAUUCUAACUUUAACUCGUAACUAUUAUCUUACGAUCAAUCUUACUAAUUGUUAUUAACAAUUUGUUGGUACAAUCAAAUCUAACUUUUAUUCGUAAUUAUCCUUUUACGAAUCAAGUCUUAACUUUAUAACCUUAAUUUAUUUUUUUUUAUCCGUGCGCGUAUCGAUUAUGUGUGUGCAGAUCUACUUUCUUUCAUCUACGUUCGAUAUUAGCUACUUAAUUUACAUUUAAAUUAUGCGUUUUGGUUUGUAUCGGUUUUGCCAUCGAGUUCGGCUCUAUGCAUCGUGCACUCCGCGACUCAUUGAUUUCCACAUCGAUACGAGUCGUCGAUCUUGCGACCGUGUGCUCUAUGCUUCGGUCGGCCCGCCACGUGCCACUAGUGUAAUGGCGGCGCGUCACUAGCGCAAUGGCGGCGCCCGGUGAUCACCGCACGUUUCACAUCGCAGUUACGGUUUACGAAUUUUUUUAAAAAAUAAUGAAAUACUCACAGUGAUAUCCGGAUAUUUGUAAAAAUUCACCGUGACCUGUGCUCUCCUUCUUCGCCUCGGUUCGUGAAAAUCCACCGAUUCAUGCCCGCUGACGAUGCGCUGUCCGCGGAGAGUAAAUAUUUACCUCGCAAAGUCACUAUCACUAUUCGUCGAGGAGAGUCUUAACUUGCACUAUAGCUAGUUGAUAAGUUUGUUCAUUGGCCUUUAUUGAUUUGAGAAAAUCAGCACGACGCCCCUGGUUACUGCAUAACCUCAACCGUGUGACAGCUUGCCUUAUAGGCACAAAACCUUAGUUUGCGACGAGCAAUUUUUAUAAGCUAUCCCGCUAUGACACAAUCAAGAGCGCUUGUGCCAGGAGAAAGGCACUAGAAUUUAGUUUAUUGGCUAUAAUUAUAGUGCUAUAAUUAAUCUGGCGUUCUAUCCAAGAUCAGUUCUACAGAUGUUUCAUCUCCUUGAGUUCCGUUAUAUGAUCACAUGCUUCUAUGUAUCCCAGACUUUUCCCUUUCCGAUGGAGAGUCUCCCCAUUUGAUUGUAUUACACCCAAAGGGCUCGUGAACACAUUCAGACAAUAGUUGCUUUUACUUAUAAUGAAGAGAACGUAUCCUGCUCCGACAGCUAGUAUACAAGAUAAGUAUUGCACUAAUAACUUGUCGCUUCAGGUUUGUCACAUACACAAAUCACAUACAUACAACUAUCACUAAUACUUUUUCUUCCAGGUGGAGGAUUUAACACAACAAUCAACCACUCUGCUCUCACACAUAUUUGCCUAACUUAAUUUAACUUAAAACCACUCUACCUUCUGUGACGGUAAUGGCCAUACCCUGUGUCUACCCUGCUUGUCGCAUAAUCACUUUCCUAAAUGCGACACAAGUUAAACUCAUUGCAUGGAUUAGCAUCUCAUAUUUAAUAAAGAACCUAUAACAUCCA